rnacentral:rRNA from 1 species
GGCUUCGGCCUGGUUAUUCAUAACCCUUUGUUGUCCGACUCUGUUGCCUCCGGGGCGACCCUGCCUUCGGGCGGGGGCUCCGGGUGGACACUUCAAACUCUUGCGUAACUUUGCAGUCUGAGUAAACUUAAUUAAUAAAUUAAAACUUUUAACAACGGAUCUCUUGGUUCUGGCAUCGAUGAAGAACGCAGCGAAAUGCGAUAAGUAAUGUGAAUUGCAGAAUUCAGUGAAUCAUCGAAUCUUUGAACGCACAUUGCGCCCCCUGGUAUUCCGGGGGGCAUGCCUGUUCGAGCGUCAUUUCACCACUCAAGCCUCGCUUGGUAUUGGGCAACGCGGUCCGCCGCGUGCCUCAAAUCGUCCGGCUGGGUCUUCUGUCCCCUAAGCGUUGUGGAAACUAUUCGCUAAAGGGUGUUCGGGAGGCUACGCCGUAAAACAACCCCAUUUCUAAGGUUGACCUCGGAUCAGGUAGGGAUACCCGCUGAACUUAAGCAUAU